GAUGAACGCUGGCGGCGUGCUUAACACAUGCAAGUCGAACGGUGAACGAGGGAGCUUGCUCCCUCCGGAUCAGUGGCGAACGGGUGAGUAACACGUGAGCAAUCUGCCCUGGACUCUGGGAUAAGCGUUGGAAACGACGUCUAAUACCGGAUACGAGGCGUGGGGGCAUCCCCAACGCCUGGAAAGAACUUCGGUCCAGGAUGAGCUCGCGGCCUAUCAGCUAGUUGGUGAGGUAACGGCUCACCAAGGCGACGACGGGUAGCCGGCCUGAGAGUGUGGCCGGCCACACUGGGACUGAGACACGGCCCAGACUCCUACGGGAGGCAGCAGUGGGGAAUAUUGCACAAUGGGCGCAAGCCUGAUGCAGCAACGCCGCGUGAGGGACGACGGCCUUCGGGUUGUAAACCUCUUUUAGCAGGGACGAAGCGAGAGUGACGGUACCUGCAGAAGGAGGACCGGCCAACUACGUGCCAGCCGCCGCAGUAACAC
rnacentral:rRNA from 1 species